UACGGAGGGUGCAAGCGUUAAUCGGAAUUACUGGGCGUAAAGCGCACGCAGGUGGCUGAGAAAGUCGAUUGUGAAAGCCCUGGGCUUAACCUGGGAAUUGCAGUCGAAACUACUCGGCUAGAGUAUGGGAGAGGGUAGUGGAAUUCCCGGUGUAGCGGUGAAAUGCGCAGAUAUCGGGAGGAACACCAAUGGCGAAGGCAGCUCGCUGGGACGGUACUGACGCUGAGGCGCUAAAGCGUGGGGAGCAAACAGG
rnacentral:rRNA from 1 species